CCUCUCAGAGUAGUGCUUCUCAACCUUUAAUGUGCAUGUGAAUCAUCUGAGGAUCUUAUUAAGAUGCCAUUUCUGGUUCAGCAGGUCUGGGAUAGGGCCAGAAAUUCUACAUUUCUAACAAGCUUCCAAGGAUGUGGGUGCUGAUGAUCUACAGACCUUACUUUGCUCAGCAGACCAUCAAACAACCAAAGGGUUUUAUGGAGAAAUGACCCAUGAAAAACAAUUCCCUGCUUCUACCAGAACAAACUUGCUGGACGUGGAUGGCCCCAUCUAGAUGGCCGAGAGCUGGAAGUUGCACCCUGUGAUCAUGAAGGAAGUUGCUGUGGACAGAAGCAACCAGAGCUCUCUUUUUCUGCCAUGUGAGGAUAAACUAGAAGGCAACCAUCUGUAAACCAGAAAGAGACCUCUCACCAGACACCAGAUCUGCUGGCACCUUGAUCUGGCACUUCUCAACCCCCAGAACCACAAGCAGUAAAUGCUUAUUGUUUUAGCCACUCAGUCUGUGUUAUUUUGUUAUAGCUGCUGGCAUUGACUAAGACAGAGUCCAUUCCUAACUUCC
rnacentral:lncRNA from 1 species